rnacentral:lncRNA from 1 species
GUGCAAAAAAAUACUAUUAAUACACAAGAUACUUCAGAAUGACUCCUGCAAUGUGCGAUUUAAAUUAGUCGAGAUUUUAAAUGCGGACACUAAACACUGAGUGAAAAAAAAAGAUAUAAAACUCUUUUUUUUUUUUUUUUAUGAAAGGCAAUAAAGAAAAGGAAGAACCUUCUUACAAGCCAAAUAACCCCAAAUCCCAAAAAACCAAAACCACUUUUUUCAUAGUAUACCAUUUGAUAGACAUUUGACAGCACUUCAGCAACUGCACUGUCUCAGUACUCUGCGAACCAAACAUCCACAAGAAACCAAACCACAAAAUUCUCCCUAUAUAUAUCUUAUCUCUUCUUCUUUACUCCAUCUAUCCUAUUUUUUAUAUGUUGAAGUUGGAAUUUGAGAGAUAUUUUGAUAUAGACAUGGGGUUGGUAGUUGAAAUGUGUUGUAACUCAAGGUUGGUUUUGUUGUAUAGGAAGAGGAAGUUGAGGAGCACUUUCUUGAAAUUCAAAGCACAAUUCUUGAAUCAAAAGAAGAAGAACAACAAGUUGAGUUUUCACUAUGAUCCUUUAAGUUAUGCACUCAACUUUGACAAUGGCAACUUUGGUUUCUUUUGCUUGUAAUAUUUAUUAUCACUUAACCCCACCCCCACCCCAACAACCCCCAACCCCACCAAAAACAUUAUGAAGAAUUUUGAUGUCUUUUUUUUCAUAUGGUUAGUUGCUGACUAGUUUAAUUUUCUCUAGCUAGCUUUAAAAUGAUGUAAGGAGGACUAAUGACAAGUUUAAGAAGUGCUUUGUAUAUUAUGUUUGUGUAUGUCUAGUUCAAUUUUUCAACUUAAUGGUAGAUUAAUCUUUAUUAAUAUCUAUUUUUUUUUCAAGAAUUUUUAUGUUUUUAGAUGACAAGUUUAAUUCCUCUCUAGCUAGCUUCAAAAGGUUAAUUAUAUUCCUCUAUACUUUAACUUAGUAUUCUAGAUGAAUAUUUUAUUAAUUUGUCACAUGAGUUGGAUAUGUGAAGGGGAAAAAAGCAUAUGCAUUAGUAACUUCUUCGCAUAAUUAAUUAAUUACUAUUUAUUAGAUUUUGUCAAAAAUUGUGAUGUUGAUAUUUUUAGAUGACUUGUUUAGUUCUUUUCCAGCUUCAAAAUGUUGGAUUUUCUAUUCUAUUUCUAGUUUAUUUUCAACUUAAUGGUAGACUAAUCUAGACUAAUCUUUGUUACCCCUUUUGUCACAUGAACUAAUGUGCAAAAAAAAAAUCUGCGCACUAGCCACUAGUGAAUUCUUUGUUUAAUUAAGGUAAUUCGAAUAUUACAAGGUUUGUUCUACCAUCUCUAAACCAAGAAAAAGGAAAUUGUUAAAGAGAAAUGAAAUAUUAAAAACAUUUCUUUUGUUGUUAAUUAAUGUGUUUUUUUUUUGGUGAAGGUUAAUUAAUGUGUUAAUAUAACGACUCUGGUAUAAUUAUUAAGGUAGUUUUUUUUUUUCUUUUUGGAUCUAGGUUUGUAUUGAUUUAUCUCGUGAGUUUUAAAUUCGAAAAGGGUCCCGAUAUUUGAUUCUGAAUUAUUGAAUAAAUUUUUUAGCUUCUUUUCUUCAUUUUAAUGUGUGAUUCGCCUAAGAUGUAAUAUACAAUAUUGAAUUAGUGGCGUGAUAUAACUUCUAUAGUUAAAUAGAAAAAAUAAUAAUUACUCUCUCCAUUUCAAAUUAUUCGUUUUAAAUUGAGAUGACAUAUUAAUUAAGAAAAAUAAUUAAUAACAUGAUUAAUUUAUCAUAGUACUCCUAUUAAAUGAUAUUUACAUUUUAAUUUGAAGAAAAAAUAAUUAAUGCAAAGGGAAAACAUGAAAUUUUUUUUUUUUUAUCUUUUCUUAAUUAAUAAAAAAAGACAAGUAAAAUGGAAAAUCAAAUUAAAAAAUUUGAGACUAAGGAAAUAUCUAUUUAGAGACAUACUAGUAGCAAUAAAUUUAGUAACUACUCCCUCCAUUUCAUUUUACUCGUUCCAAAUUUUUUAAUUUAUUGUUUUAUUUUACUUGUUCGUUUUUACUUAUCAAGACAAAAUAAAUUUUUUUCCCAUUAUACCCUUAGUGUAAUUGAUUACUACUUAUUAUUAGCAUUUUUGAAAAAUAUUGCAAAGGAGGAGUGUCAUUAAGAGUACACCAUUAAAAAUAUAAAUGGUGCUUUAGUAUUAGCCAUUCAUCAAUAUUGGAACUAACAACAAGACACAAUUAAGAGGGGUAAAAUGGUAAAGUUAUAUUACCAAUCAUUGUUUUUUUAAUAGUUGUGUUAUCCUAAUUUGGAACGAAUAAAAUAGGACGGAGGGAGUAAUAUUUUAUUUUUUAAAAAUUGUCUUAUAAAAGGACAACAUUUUCCGUUUCAUUUAAAAAAUUAAGGAACUUUGACUAACUAGCUAUAAGAUAAAACCAUUGUGAAGUUUUGUUUUUAUGAAAAAAAUACAAAUUACUCAUUGUCUUUUCUAUUUUGGAAUCUUUCAAAGAAAAAGAUAUUUUGCCUUAUGGAAUCAGUUGAAGAAUCUGAUCCUUUUUGAGAUCAUCAGCUUUUCAAAUCAAUAAAAAGCUUAUCAAGCUUCCUAUUCAAGUAGUAUUGAAAACUUUAAGUUUGAAAUAUUUUUGUUAAAUAAAUUUCAUUGAAGGUUCAUAAUCAAUAUUUGAAUUGAUCAUGAAGUUGAAAUAUUUCUCUUUUUAAAAAAUUUACAUUUUAUAAUGCUUUUUCCUCUUAGAUUUCAAGAAGAUAAUGUCAAGUCUUUUCGGUACUAACGACUCGUAAUG